rnacentral:lncRNA from 12 species
AUGCAGGUGCUCUAUGGCCUCAACAGCUGGAAGGUGGGCCCCGCCCCCUCCCUCCCCUCCCCCCGCUGGUGGGCGGGGCUGCACGGCCCGCGUGGGCGGCUUUGUGACGCGCUCAGAGGCUUGGUGUGCUGGUCCUGGAGAGGAGUCAGAGCCGUGGAGACCCUCUCCAAGGCCUUAUGCCCCAACCUCCCACCCUGGCGCCCAGCUAGCCCUAAAUGGGCCGUUUAUUUUCUAAGUUUCUUCGCCCCCCCCGCCGGCCCCUGCCCCGCCGGAGUUGCCCGCUGGCCACGCCCGCCCGUGACACCGCCCGUCCUGGCCGGACCACCCUGCGGCUCCUGCACCCGCCCCCUGCUCUGGGCGCAGGCCAUCCCAGCGGGGGCGGAGGGGGAGCCUGUACCGGCUCGCUGCCACGGGGAGCCCAGGAGGCGGCUCCCGCUCCCUCAGGCCGCGGGCCCCCCUCUGGGCCUCCUCCCCGCGGGGAGCUGGGGGAGCCCUCCGGGGGGCGUGAGCUGUCUGCGCAGUUGCCCGCUGGUCCGGCCCUCGAGGACUGUGAGGAUCCCUCCCCCGGGGCGCGAGGUCACGCUCCUGCAUUCACUACCUGCACAGGGAGCCGGGGCCGCGGGUCAGGUACCGACCCGUCCCCUCCCCCUUUCGAGCCCAGGGCACGGAGGAGGAGGUCCCGGAGCACCCCGGAGGACAGACGCAGGCUCUCGGAGAGACCAAAGGGCCGGGUGGUGGCAGUGGCCGCCCCCACAGCCGCGGGGCACGCAGUGGACAUCCGAGCCCCGGACACCAGCGGCGCUCUCAGCCUCCACCAAGCCAGCCCUGCAGCCCUGGACCGACGUCUCGCCCCCUCCGGAGAGGGCUCGUGGGCCAGCACCCAGAUGUCUCCCAUGUCGUCCUCUGCAGGCCGCGUGGCCACCUCUUCAGGCGGUCCCGUGGGAGAGGUCCUCGGGACCCCGACAGGGACGCGCGGUGCCCUCGCGCCCACGCCCAGGCUGCCCCGGGCCGCAGGGGCCCUCCGCAGAGGGGGCGGCGGCUGAAAACCAUCCGCCCGGGAGCGUGCGGGCCGCGGGGAGGAGGGACACACAGGCUGGGGGCCCCGGGCGUCUCGCCACGGAGCCCUCUCCCGCCGGCGUCGGCCAGCAGCGGGCCACACAGAAGGAAACUAGGCCUGCCCCCCGCCUGCCAGUGCCGCCGCCUCUACCACUGCUGUGGGAUCGGGGGGACUGGCCCCCACCCCGAAGCUUCCUCGCCUUGCUCCUGACAAGAACCCGGGCACCUCGCAGGACGCCGAGCGUCCGAGGGACAAGAUCCCGAAGGACAGAACAGACACCUCGGCCGACUGCUGGGCCGCCCCGCCUGCCCCUUCCUCGCCCCCACUUGCCUCGGAGGCUGCAGGCUCCCCGCCGCGGCCGCUCCCGCUGCCCAGGUCCCCGUUCCUCGCACCGCCUUGGCUGA